rnacentral:rRNA from 1 species
GAUGAACGCUAGCUACAGGCUUAACACAUGCAAGUCGAGGGGCAGCAUGAAGUUUGCUUGCAAACUUUGAUGGCGACCGGCAAACGGGUGAGUAACGCGUGGGCAACCUGCCGGAAAGAUGGGGACAACAUCCCGAAAGGGGUGCUAAUACCGAAUGUUGUAUACGGGGCGCAUGCCUUGUAUAUCAAAGGAUUCUAUCCGCUUUCCGAUGGGCCCGCGUCCGAUUAGCUGGUUGGGGGGGUAACGGCCCACCAAGGCGACGAUCGGUAGCCGGCCUGAGAGGGUGGACGGCCACAUUGGGACUGAGACACGGCCCAGACUCC